GUUUUGGCUUCACAAAGUUCAGUUCAUUUCCUGGUGUUUUUUCAGUCUCACAAGACUAUCUGAAUGCUCGCAGCCAUGACAGGUUUGUAAGCUAUUGAGUUGAUUCGUGUUUUGACUUGACAAAGUUCAGUUUCUUUCCCACCCUCACUGAACUACCCUUUUCGUGAUGAUACACAUAUACUCCGUCUUUUGAUAUUUUUACUACUCACUUUGCUCCGUUUUAAACACAAUGAAG
rnacentral:misc_RNA from 1 species